rnacentral:rRNA from 1 species
GGUAAACGCUGGCGGCGUGCCUAAAACAUGCAAGUCGAACGGGCGUCUCUCUUCGGGGGGACGUCAGUGGCGGACGGCUGAGUAACGCGUGGGUGACGGACCCAGCAGUGGGGCAUAACUGCCCGAAAGGGUGGCUAAUUCCGCAUACGCUCUGGUCAUUGGUGGCCAGAGGAAAGCCCUCGGAAGGGGGCGCUGGUGGACUGGCCCGCGUCCGAUUAGCUGGUUGGUGGGGUAAGAGCCUACCAAGGCGACGAUCGGUAGCUGGUCUCAGAGGAUG